UAUCUUCUAUCUAUCGUUCAUACUUGCAAUCCACUCUCCCCUCUAUGAUACUCUCUCCUCUAGAUCUCUCUUCUAUCUAUCUUUCAUCCUUGUUUUUUCUAUCUUCUAUUUAUCUUUCAAUAUUUAUCCACUUCGUAUUUUUGGAGCUCAGCACCAACCAUACAGAGGUCAACGGUGGCAAAUAUUCUCUUUUCUCCCUCUCAAACGUCUUUAUUUCCGUAAUUGUUAUCGAACGAUGAUUUAGAUCGCCGAUUAAAGUUUGGGAACACCGAUGAUUUAGAUCGCCCCAUUGAAGACUCUCUUUACGAUUGAUUUUUCUUACCCACCGACUCUCAUCCAUUCCCGUGAUCCUCAUCUUUCCUGUUUCACCAUAUCUGUCAACGGGAAAACGAUCCAAUCGACACGAUCCGACCUUAAAUGCACUUCUUCAGACAAAAAGGGUGUAUAUACAUACCAUAUUCUCUCCAUUCAAGAUUGGUCCGGUUCAAUUGUACUUUCCCUCUUUCUCUCACAGGUGUAUGAUGAAAUGCCAAGGAGAAGAUGUCCUAGAAGAUAGGCUAAGUAUUGUGUUUGCUUGAGGAUGAAAGUAUAUACAAUGAAGUGUACAUGAAGCCGAUUAAGGACAUGUCUGUGACUUUGUUUUCUUCCACUAACCACAUCAUCAGGCUAGUUUGCAGAUGGGUCAAUGUUCAACCCACACGCUCUUGGACGUGAUGGGGUGAUAGAGCCACUUAGUAUUCUUGAGCUCGGACCAAGGCUAGUCAUCCUAGGACUAGGUAUAGGUGGGCAUUCAGAGUUGCAUCGACUAUGUUUCCAGAAUAACUAGGUAGACAUGUCUCAACCAACCGAGUUAUGAAUUGAGUUGUUACCUGAUCCGGGACUAGAGCACUGACCCGACCCAAGAAAACUGGCAUCGACAUAGAGCCUUCCAACCCAUAAACUAGAGGUCAGAGUCGGGUCAGGCCGAAAUACUCUCAUUAGGAAUGAGCGGGUAGAGAUGACAAGGAAUACACUUAGGAAAGAAUGAAACUGAAUCAGGCCAAAAAGAACCUUCUCAUGUCUCCUACUCUAAGGUAUGCUUUCCUUGCCUCGCUUUUUGACCUAAGUUAGUGAUACAUCCUCGUGUUUUUCUUUGGACUUGGGGUUGAUGAUAAACAACUUGAUGAAGAAUUCUAGGAAGAAUUGUUUACUGAACGAUUUGAAAUCCGAAUCUCUUUAUAUUUUCUUAUUUGAGUUUUUAUUUUGAAACACAAUUAUUUUGAAAAAAAGAUACUAAUUGAUAAGUUAAUGGUUACAGAUCGUGCAUUAUCUAGCUCAUUCUGGAGGUAGAUGGAAACACUGUUUGGGUUUGUAUAAGACGUGGACAUGUCGUAUUUAAAGCAACAUGUGAUUAACAAUUAUUCAUUUAUGUGUGAGCAUACCCAUUUUAUCUCAUGUAAUAGGGCACAUAACAAAUUUUUAUUUUUUCUAUAAUUAUACGGAAGUAUUCAGGCUACUUUUAUAGAUAGUGUCAGUGCACUUUCUAAUGGAACAAAAACCAGAAGCCCUGAACAUUUUGCAGGUCCAAGGGAGAUUCUUAUUGAGAUUAAGAGUAUUGGAAUUUAUCUAGAGCUAGUGGUUAUUAGAUGAAGUCAACAAAGUCUACAUUGGUUAGUUUACUAAUAUAAAAUAAAUUCCCUUUUAAUGAAUUUAUAUCUGCAUAAAGUAUUUAUCUAAUGUGCUUAAUGAAAUAUGGGUGAUUUUAUAUAUUUAGGCCUGGUGUAUGCUUCUGUUUGGGUGUCCAGAUAAUAUAACGGAUAUCAUAGUGGCAUCUUUAACUAUAGGUGACUUGAGACUGAUCAAAUUCAUAUUCUCAAGACUUCAGAUUAAAACAGAGAUAAUUUGGUUUGCAUGUAGAAACUAUCCUAAGGGUACAAUCAAUGAUAUGGUUGAAGAUGUUUCUCAGCCUUGUUUAAUUAACAUGAUUUAUGUCAUAGGACAAUCUGCUGGUGCCCAUAUAUCUUCUUGUGUACUAUUUUAGCAGGCUAUUAAGGAAUCCAAAUGAAAGACCAUCUAUGUUUUAUUUAUUUAUUUAUGUGAUUAGGUGGAACUUGAGGCUAUGAGGACAGAGUAUGGAAAUGCUUAAUUAGAAUGUAGUGCAGCUAAUGAACGUUGCAAGUUAUUGGCUUCUGAGGAGAAGAAUAUCUAGCCUGGAGAAGGAUUGCCAAGGUCUGCAUGCAAUUCACUGUUGAAGCUCUACAAGAAGGUGUUGCAAUCUAUGCUUCAAAAAGCUCCUAUAAUUACCAAUCCAGUGGAUAUUAAAAAGCCUCCAACUAAUAGAAAGAAAGCAUCAACUUCUACAGAUGAUCUUGAUAUCUUAUUUAACUGCAUUGCAACUUGGAAUUAAAUGGAUAUUUUUGGAGGCUUUUUCAUAAGGGGUGAUUGCUCAUGAAGUACCUUUGUGAUUGAAUGGAGCCUCAAGUACCAUGUGAACUUAUGAGAGGGUAUUUGGAUUUUGCACCUCAUGCAUGGAAUGUAAUUGUGGUUAAGAAGGGUGAUUCAGACAUUUGAAUGGUAGUGGAUGCAUGUUGUCCUCAUGAUAUAAGAGAAGAGACAGAUCCAUAAUAUUUCUACAGGCAUAUUCCUCUGAAUCGGAUCAAUGGUGAUGCACACUGUUCUUUUCCUUCUCUUUCUGCUGCAUAUGAAGACAUCAAGGAAGGAGAUUCAAUCUCAACAACUCUUAUUGAAUGCUAAGGUCUUGUAUGCAAAACAUUUUCCGGUUUGUGUUGCAGGUUUGAGAUGUUCGAGACGAAGAAGAUGAUGAACAGUGGGCUCUGAGAGGGUGGUGGCCUCCAGUUCUGUGAUUUUUUUUCUUGUUCUUUUGAUUCAUGCGAAAAACACACAAAAAACUUUUUUUUGGUAUUUUGCUUCAAACGAAAAUCACAGGAACAACAAAAAAAACUCUUAUUUCUUUUUCUCCUUAUUCUUGUUUCGAUUGGUAGCAGGAAGGUCUUGGCCUCUUGGGUCACUCUUAUUUCUUUUUCUCCUUCUGCUUUUCUAUUUUCUGGCUCAAUUAUGAUGUUGGUGAUGUUGGUUUCGAUAGUGAGCAGGUAAGGGUGAUUUGAUGGAGGCUGGAAAUAUUCAUUUGUGAUGGGUUCGUGGAGAGUGUAACGGAGCAGGUGAGUUUGGUGGUGAAGUUUUGAAGGCUCAAACAGAUAAUGAGUGUAGUGGCGAAGGAUAGAACAUGAUUGAUGAAAGAGAAUAGCUCUGGAGUUAGAAGAGGAAAAGAAAGCUCAAGCUGAAAGAGAUAAGAUGCUGCAAAUGCAAGUGUUGCAUUCUUCAUUUCAAUUGUUACUAUGAAACACAGAGUAGAUUAGAUGAAUACAAAUUUAUAUAUUAUAAUGAAAUAGAAUUGUAUGACAUUAAAUUUUAUGCAAUGGAUUGUAUUUUUUGUA